CAGUCGCCGCGGGAAUACAGAGGGUGCGAGCGUUAAUCGGAUUUACUGGGCGUAAAGCGUGCGUAGGCGGCUUUUUAAGUCGGAUGUGAAAUCCCUGAGCUUAACUUAGGAAUUGCAUUCGAUACUGGGAAGAUAGAGUAUGGGAGAGGAUGGUAGAAUUCCAGGUGUAGCGGUGAAAUGCGUAGAGAUCUGGAGGAAUACCGAUGGCGAAGGCAGCCAUCUGGCCUAAUACUGACGCUGAGGUACGAAAGCAUGGGGAGCAAACAGGAUUAGAUACCCGAGUAGUCCCUGUCUCUUAUAC
rnacentral:rRNA from 1 species